CCUACGGGUGGCAGCAGUGAGGAAUCUUGGUCAAUGGGCGCGAGCCUGAACCAGCCAAGUAGCGUGAAGGAUGACUGCCCUACGGGUUGUAAACUUCUUUUAUAUGGGAAUAAAAUGUUUCACGUGUGGGAUUUUGUCUGUACCAUAUGAAUAAGAAUCGGCUAACUCCGUGCCAGCAGCCGCGGUAAUACGGAGGAUCCGAGCGUUAUCCGGAUUUAUUGGGUUUAAAGGGAGCGUAGGUGGAUUGUUAAGGCAGUUGUGAAAGUUUGCGGCUCAACCGUAAAAUUGCAGUUGAAACUGGCAGUAUGGAGUAAAGUAGAGGUGGGCGGAAUUCGGGGUGUAGCGGUGAAAUGCUUAGAUAUCACGAAGAACUCCGAGUGCGAAGGCAGUUCACUGGACUGCAACUGACACUGAGGCUCGAAAGUGUGGGUAUCAAACAGGAUUAGAUACCUAGUAGUC
rnacentral:rRNA from 1 species